GCUUCGGGGAGAGAUACCAGCUCAAGUCCCCUGGAACGGGGCGUCACAGAGGGUGAGAAUCCCGUAUCUGGCUGGCCUUUGAUCCUAUGUGAAGCUCCUUCGACGAGUCGAGUUGUUUGGGAAUGCAGCUCUAAAUUGGUGGUAAAUUUCAUCUAAAGCUAAAUACCGGCUGGAGACCGAUAGCGCACAAGUAGAGUGAUCGAAAGAUGAAAAGCACUUUGGAAAGAGAGUUAAAAAGCACGUGAAAUUGUUGAAAGGGAAGCGCUCGCAGCCAGACUCGCUCUCAACGGAUCAGCCGUCCCUCGGGGCGGUGUACUCUGUUGUGACCGGGCCAGCAUCAAUUCUCGGGGCGGGAUAAAGACUUGGAAAAAGUAGCUCUUUUUGGAGUGUUAUAGUCCCUCGUGUCAUGCCGUCCCUGGGGAUUGAGGAACGCACUUUUGUUUGGAUGUUGGCAUAAUGGCUGUCAGCGACCCGUCUUGAAACACGGACCAAGGAGUCGACCAUUUAACUGAGUGUUAGGGCGUCAAACCCUUGCGCGUAAUGAAAGUAAACGUAGGUGGGAGCCUUUUAGGUGCACCAUCGCCCGGCCUCUGAUGUUCGCUGACGAGGCUGCGGAAGAAGUUAGCUGGUCGGACCCGAAAGAUGGUGAACUAUGCGUGAAUAGGGUGAAGCCAGAGGAAACUCUGGUGGAGGCUCGCAGCGGUUCUGACGUGCAAAUCGAUCGUCAAAUUUGCGUAUAGGGGCGAAAGACUAAUCGAACCAUCUAGUAGCUGGUUCACGCCGAAGUUUCCCUCAGGAUAGCAGUAGCGUUUUCAGUUUUAUGAGGUAAAGAAAUGAUUAGAGGCCUUGGGGACAUAGUGUCCUUAACCUAUUCUCAAACUUUAAAUAUGUAAGAAGCCCUUGUUACUUAGUUGAACGUGGGCAUUUGAAUGUAUCGUACUAG
rnacentral:rRNA from 1 species